GGCAGGUUCGGCGGCCGAAACCCCUCUCCAGAGACGAAACUCAUGCAUGUUCGGCGGCACCUUCGGCGGCCGAAAGUCUCGUCCAAAGACGAAACUCAACCUUCGGCGGCACUUUCGGCGGCCGAACCUUGCCUCCAGAGAUGAAAGUCCCAAGUUUCGGGGGCAAGCUUUGGCAGCCGAAACUGCCUCCACAAGGGGUUCGGUGGCCGAACCUUCCUUCGGCGGCCGAACCUGGUUUUGCCCGCUGGGCAGAACCCUGCUCUGAUUCAUGCAAACCUUUCCCCCAAACUUAUCCAACAUGCAUACCAACU
rnacentral:lncRNA from 1 species